rnacentral:rRNA from 1 species
GAUGAACGCUGGCGGCGUGCUUAACACAUGCAAGUCGAACGAAGCUGCUUAAAGGAAGUCUUCGGAUGGAAUUUAGGUAGACUUAGUGGCGGACGGGUGAGUAACGCGUGGAUAACCUGCCUUAUACAGGGGGAUAACGGAGAGAAAUUUCCGCUAACACCGCAUAAGACCACAGCACCGCAUGGUGCAGAGAUAAAAUAUUUAUAGGUAUAAGAUGGAUCCGCGUCCGAUUAGCUAGUUGGUGAGGUAAAGGCCCACCAAGGCGACGAUCGGUAGCCGGCCUGAGAGGGUGAACGGCCACAUUGGGACUGAGACAUGGCCCAAACUCCUACGGGAGGCAGCAGUGGGGAAUCUUGCGCAAUGGGCGAAAGCCUGACGCAGCCAUGCCGCGUGGAUGAUGAAGGUCUUAGGAUUGUAAAAUCCUUUCACCGGGGACGAUAAUGACGGUACCCGGAGAAGAAGCCCCGGCUAACUUCGUGCCAGCAGCCGCGGUAAUACGUAGGGUGCAAUCGUUAAUCGGAAUUACUGGGCGUAAAGCGUGCGCAGGCGGUUAUGUAAGACAGUUGUGGAAUCCCCGGGCUCAACCUGGGAACUGCAUCUGUGGCUGCAUAGCUAGAGUACGGUAGAGGGGGAUGGAAUUCCGCGUGUAGCAGUGAAUGCGUAGAUAUGCGGAGGAACACCGAUGGCGAAGGCAAUCCCCUGGACCUGUACUGACGCUCAUGCACGAAGCGUGGGGAGCAAACAGG